CUCUUUGUUCGUGCAUUAUCGGGAUUUACAAGCACUCGUUCACGAAAAAGAAACUCGAAAUUUAACACUGCACUCGGCUGCGCCUCGUGCAGUGUUAAAUUUCUUGUUUCUUGUUCGUGAACUCGUGCUUGUAAAUCCCGAUAAUGCACGAACAAAGAG